rnacentral:lncRNA from 1 species
CUCAUAUAUAUUCUCAACAACGUGGACUCACGUAUGUUAACUAAAAAUUUCCGCAACAACGUGUGGGACAUCAUCCAGUUAGUUAAGUGUCGCCUCCUUCUAGACCCAAAACACCAUCAAACACCAAACCUAAACUAGCUGUUGAUUUUGUCUGUACUACUAGUACUAGCUAAAUGCUCGUUCCACAGUAGCCUUUUAAUUACUGCAUAUGCUAUUUAAAUGCUAUGUUUUGCAUCACUGUAGCCCUAACUUUGUUUACAUUUUAGAAAAUCAUCUGAAAAUAUACAUCAAUUAAAUCAAAUAGUCUUAUAGUCAAAUCAAAGAUCGUAAUGCAUAUGUCUUGCAUAGAGGAGAAACAUUACCAUCAUCAACUCAAAUAUUACAUGAGAAUAUUCCAUGGAAAAUGCUUUUACAGUUUCUACUAUACUGGUAUAUGGUUUGAAGAUGUAAACUUAAAACACGUCGUAUAGGGUACUCUUUGGUACACUCUGGUGUGCAUAAAGCAUUUAUUCUCAUUUCUCAAUCAAUCAGCCAUUGAUUGCCACUGAUCGCCGCGUGAUCCCUAUGGUACUUCCUAGACGUGGCCACGGUGGUCCGGCCGCAAGUCGCACCAGUACAAAGCCAACGUGGCUAGGAAGCAUGCCGUAGAACGUAGGCAGCUGACGUUGUUCGCUCUUCGCUGGUCCGGGGACUCACGUCAGUUGCGAUCCACGUUUCACGUUUCGGAAGUCCGUCUACUUUGGUAACAGUUCGGCCACGGCAGGCUUGCCCAUCAGCCGACAGCAGCCAGCGUCUCUCGUGGCUGUCCCGGACUCCCGGUGCUUCUGGGCUGAGUGCUACAACAAACUAACGAUUUGUAUUAGUGCAAAAUUUUAGCGACCUCAAAGGAAAAAAAAAUGUCCCCUAGAAAGCCAACUUUGGCAAAAAAAAAAAAGAACAUAUAAUCAGUUGUACGUGGAUUUGACAAGAUUAUGUAUAAAGAUAUCUUGCCGAUCCUUCCUUUCCUUUAGAUUAUUUUCAGGUCAAUCACUCAAGAAUAAGAUAUGCAUGGUCCUUGAUGGCAGAAACCAAAUCGGUCUAGUACCACAAGGAUAUUUUUCUCCUUGUUAACGUCGUUCUUGUCCGUGGGGUCACCAUUCGUUGAGAAGUCGUGAUGCGUAUGCACACCAGGAUGAUGCUCACCUUAUCGAUCGAUCUCGGCAUGCAGACGACGCCAUGGAAUUCCGGUGCUCAUCUUGAGCUGGUCCACGGCAAAAGGUUGCCACCAAACAAGAAUGUCUCUGAAGGGAACAUUUGCUCUGUUUUCCAGGAUAAUUUGCUCCUCGCAUGGAUAUGCUUAGAGCUUACAAAAAUAUAUGUUGUCAUCUUCUUUUAUUACUCUCGGAUUUGGCGGGGAUAAGUGCCGGGAAGAUAUUUCUUUUCGUGACUUGCAUCCGGCCGGUCACGUCACGCAAAUCUUUUUUCAUUCAUUCG